rnacentral:rRNA from 1 species
UGGUGAAAAGUACCGCGGGAGCGGAGUGAAAUAGUACCUGAAACCGUGUGCCUACAAGCCGUGGGAGCGUCGGAUGGGAGCUUGCUUCCAUCUCGUGACUGCGUGCCUUUUGAAGAAUGAGCCUGCGAGUUUGCGGUGUGUUGCGAGGUUAACCCGUGUGGGGAAGCCGUAGCGAAAGCGAGUCCGAACAGGGCGUUUCAGUAGCAUGCUCAAGACCCGAAGCGGAGUGAUCUAGCCAUGGGCAGGUUGAAGCGGAGGUAAGACUUCGUGGAGGACCGAACCCACCAGGGUUGAAAACCUGGGGGAUGACCUGUGGUUAGGGGUGAAAGGCCAAUCAAACUCCGUGAUAGCUGGUUCUCCCCGAAAUGCAUUUAGGUGCAGCGUCGUGUGUUUCUUGCCGGAGGUAGAGCACUGGAUAGGCGAUGGGCCCUACCGGGUUACUGACCUUAGCCAAACUCCGAAUGCCGGUAAGUGAGAGCGCGGCAGUGAGACUGUGGGGGAUAAGCUCCAUGGUCGAGAGGGAAACAGCCCAGAGCAUCGACUAAGGCCCCUAAGCGUACGCUAAGUGGGAAAGGAUGUGGAGUCGCACAGACAACCAGGAGGUUGGCUUAGAAGCAGCCACCCUUGAAAGAGUGCGUAAUAGCUCACUGGUCUAGUGAUUCCGCGCCGACAAUGUAGCGGGGCUCAAGCGUACCGCCGAAGUCGUGUCAUUGCAGCAUGAGGGCCAACGCCCGCUGUGAUGGGUAGGGGAGCGUCGUCUGCCGGGUGAAGCAGCCGCGGAAGCGAGUUGUGGACGGUUGACGAGUGAGAAUGCAGGCAUGAGUAGCGAUACACACGUGGGAAACGUGUGCGCCGAUUGACUAAGGGUUCCUGGGUCAAGCUGAUCUGCCCAGGGUAAGUCGGGACCUAAGGCGAGGCCGACAGGCGUAGUCGAUGGAUAACCGGUUGAUAUUCCGGUACCCGCUGUGAAGCGUCAAACAUCGAGCAUCGUGAUGCUAAGGCCGUGAAGCCGCCCUGAUCUCUUCGGAGUUGAGGGGAGUGGUGGAGCCGCCGGACCAAGCGGUUAGUAGGUGAGUGAUGGGGUGACGCAGGAAGGUAGUCCAUCCCGGGCGAUGGUAGUCCCGGGGUAAGGGUGUAGGCCGUGCGGUAGGUAAAUCCGUCGCACA